UACGUAGGGGGCUAGCGUUGUCCGGAUUUAUUGGGCGUAAAGCGCGUGUAGGCGGCCAUGUAGGUCCGGUGUGAAAACUCGAGGCUUAACCUCGAGAUGUCAUCGGAAACCAUUUGGCUAGAGUCCGGAAGAGGAGAGUGGAAUUCCUGGUGUAGCGGUGAAAUGCGCAGAUAUCAGGAAGAACACCAAUGGCGAAAGCAGCUCUCUGGGACGGUACUGACGCUGAGACGCGAAAGCGUGGGGAGCGAACAGG
rnacentral:rRNA from 1 species